UUACAUAUGAAUAUACGAUCGGUUUCCAUUAUCAAGAUAAAGGAAAAUACCAUUUUGUAUUGCUAAUUAUAUAUUUUUGGGAAACGAUUCUUUCCGGCUAAUUUUUUUUAAAUAAUAUGAUUUUUUUAAUCAUUUUCAAAAAUAAUACGCGUUUUUAAAUUUUUUUUAAAAUAAUACGGCCUCGGCCUGGGCGAGGCCGAUUGGGCCCAGUCGGCCCGGCCCAAGUCGAUUAGGCCCAGUCAGCCUCGGCCAGGCCGCCUGUCUAGCCCGCGGGGCCCCCACGCGCCAGUCAGCC
rnacentral:lncRNA from 1 species